GACAUUUUGUAUUGCUUUGUGUUUGUUCUUUUUUUUUCACUAGAGAAUUUUGAUUAAAAAAUUCAGUGGAAUUUGAAGUUUGUCAUUACAGUGAUUUCCCAAAAAUGACAGAGGAUUUCCCAGUUUCGGUCACUUCAAGGUGUUGCUGUUGCUGCGGUUGCCAAAGGAAUUGUUCCAGCCCACCAGCCCAGUUUGCUGUGCAGCAGGAUGGAAGCUUGUACUGGCACAAGGGAGAAAAGAUUGCAUGGAAAUGUGCGAGCGGCUCAUCGUCCCCGCGUCAGGUGAUUGAGAGGCCGGGGACCGCAGUUCUGAUUUCUGCAAUGACGAGGAGCUGAGCCGAUCUACCCGCUCGGUUUUUGGGAGAGCUGCUCCUUUGGGACAAAGGGAUGCCGUGAAAUAACACCCUGCAGUCAGCCCUGGAAACUUCAUGGGAACAGAGGUUAAGAGG